CGGCGGCGGCAACGGGCGUACCCCCGGGUUGCGCGUCCUGGGGAGAGAGCGAGAGGUCAGGCCAUGAACCUGGGAGAUGGUUUAAAGCUUGAAACUGAAUUGUUGGAUGGAAAAACCAAGUUAAUAUUGUCUCCAUAUGAAUGUAAAUCAAAAAAUUCUGUGAAGAUGGGAAAUAAGACCAAGAUUGCAAAAUGUCCUUUAAGAACAAAACAAACUGGAUACAUUCUAAAAUCAACCCAAAAUACUUGUAUCAGGAGUGGAAAACUUUUGCAAAAGAAGAGAAUGGGUUCAGAAACUUCACUGGCAAAAGGUGAAAAAAAUAGUAUGACUUUUUCACCCACUAAGGAUUUAUGCAAGCAGUAUGUAGAUAAAGACUGUCUUUAUGUCCAGAAAGAGAUUUCACCUGCAACCCCCAAUAUACAGAAGGCUAGAAACACCAUAAAUACAUCUGUAGUAGCUAAACAGAAGCUUUGCAAAAAACACAUUACAGCUGAAAAUAUGAAGAGCAGUUUGGUGUGUCUAACACAAGACCAACUACAACAGAUUUUGAUGACUGUGAACCAAGGAAAUAAAUCUAUUUCCCUGAUUGAAAAUGGAAAGGAAGAAACAAGUCAGGGCAGUCUACGUUUAAACAAUAUUUCCAGUCAGCCAGAGGAUGAGAAAAUUAUGGGAGUAUUCCAAAAAACUGAGGCUCUUUCAUCUGUCCUGGAUGAAAAUAAAUCUGUUUUAAAUAAAAAUCAAGAGACAUCUAAGCAGUAUGAGCAGAAAAUUGCCAUAGAGAAUGUAUGGAAACCAGCUGACAUAUUCAGUACUCUGGGGGAAAGAGAACGUGACAGAAGUUUGUUGGAAGCAAAAAAAGCCCAGUGGAAGAAAGAGCUUGAUGAACAGGUUGCUUUAAAGAAGAAAGAAAAAGAAGCUUCUGAAAAAUGGAACAAUCCGUGGAAAAAAUUUGAAAGUGAUAAAAUAGUGUGCGAAAAAUUUCAAAUUCUUGACCAGUCUAAGACUUGUGGUAGCUCUUCCAGCAUUCUCUCACAGUCUCCUAUUCAGAUAACAGUGGUCCAGUCUGAUGGGCACCCACUACCUAGAGCUAGUCAGAUUUUAGAGGAAGCAGUACCACCGGAGCACCCUUUUAGUGCCAUUAAACAAGAACAGCAGAGGAAAUGGAUUGAAGAUUUGAACAGGCAAAUAGAAGAUGAUCGGCAAAGAAAAAUAGAGGAAAAAAUUACAUCUUCAAAGGGUGAGGAACAUGACAGAUGGGCAAUGCAUUUUGAUUCAUUAAAGAACUAUCCUGCUUCUCAGUCUCAACUGUCCUCUCGGUCAACACACAACCAACCAGAGUACUUCUGUGUCUCUCCGGACACUCAGGAACUGGCUGAUAUCAGCGGUGUUUAUACACCUAUGACUGGAAGUCAGGUUGAACCUUCAGAGGAGGAGCAUAUAGCAAAACCUGUUAGAGAUAAGGCCAUGGCAAACAGUCAGAAAACAAACUUUCUCCGUUCUAUGACUGCUCUCUUGGAUCCAGCUCAGAUUGAAGAACGUGACAGGCGACGACAAAAACAGUUAGAACAUCAGAAAGCCAUCACUGCUCAGGUAGAAGAGAAACGCAGGAAGAAGCAGCUGGAAGAACAGCAAAGAAAGAAGGAAGAACAAGAAGAGGAGCGUCGCUUAGCACGGGAACGAGAAGAGAUGCAGAAACAAUAUGAAGAAGACAUACUUAAGCAAAAACAAAAGGAAGAAAUUAUGACUCUCAAGACAAAUGAGCUAUUCCAGACAAUGCAGAGAGCACAGGAGCUAGCACAGAGGCUGAAACAAGAACAGAGGAUCCGAGAAUUGGCUCAAAAGGGACAUGACACUUCUGGAUUGAUUAAAAAUCUUGGCGGACAUGGCUUGGAUGAUGUCAGUGGUAAAAAGAAUACAUGUAUCAGUUCUACAACCUCUCCCAAAAAAGAUACUGCUGUACAAACAGAUGACUUAAAUACAGGAACAUUCACCAAUGCAGAAUCAUGCUGUCGAACAGUAAUAGAGAGGGAAAUUCUAAAUUGUUCAUCUCCUGAGAUUCCUGCAGAAUUUAAUGAACAGUUUAACACUAAGAAAGACAAAGAGGAACUUACAAUAAAUCAGGUUAAAGGAGUCAACUUAGAAAAAGAAAACGGUUGGCAUAAUGAUCAGUGUAAUGAGUUUGGAAGGACAGAGAAAACACCUAUGAAGAAAUGUCCUAAAAGGCCUGAUUGGAAUAUAAAUAAACCACUCAAAAGGUAUAUUCCAGCAUCAGAAAAGUACCCUAAACAGCUUCAAAAGCAGAGAGAAGAAAAAAAAGUAAGAAGGCAGAUGGAACUGCUUAAUUUGGUAGAAAGAAAUAAUCCUGGACAUCUCUCUCAAAAUAGAGGCACUUCACCAGUUCUUCCUUCAUCUCAAGAAACAGAGCCAAGGUUCAGGUGGCAUCUAAUCAAAAAGGAAGAAGAGCCUCUGAAAAUUAAUUCUUUCGGCAAGGAAAGGUACGUUAUGGAUUGGAUUGAUUCCAUAGCUACUUAGUGCUGUGUGGGACAAAGGAAGUACAAAUAUUUGCUCAGAAUAUAGGUCUCAGUCACCACCACCAGUUCCAGUGGUGAAAAACAGAGCGCAACAAACUCAGACACUAAAAAACCGUAAUUAUGAAAGAGAGAAUCUGAUCUUAGAAGAUAGUCAAACAGAAACAUCACCUGGGCUUUCUGAACCAUCUCAUUUUAUCCCCUAUGUCCGAACCAGUGAGAUUUAUUACCUUGACCCAGAUGCACCUCUCUCUAGGCCUUUAACCCAGGAUCUUCAAUACCAAACUCCACAUGACUGUGACCAAGAACACCGGCAGCUAUUGGAUUCUGAUGUCAGAGACCCACUUCUUAAUCCUAACUUGGUGAAAAACAGGGAUCGACAGCAAGCAAUCCUUAAGGGACUAUCGGAACUGAGACAGGGCCUUCUCCAGAAGCAAAGGGAAUUGGAAACUAAUCUCAUGCCUUUAGCUGCAAAUCAAGAAGAGAAUUUUAAUUCUUCAUUUUAAAUGUAGAAAAUCAAAUCCUUCACAUUUGUUGCUUCUGAAUUAUAAAAUGUGUUCAUUGCAUAACUGUAUUUUCCAAAAUUUUAAAAAUGCUUAUUUAAAACUUGUACGUUAUGUAGUACAACGCUGUGUGUGUGUAUAUAUUUUUUUACAAUAAAACAGACAUUUUUGUAAAGCUAGUAAAAAACAUUUUUCUGCUCUAUUGCAAUCUAGGUAUUUAAACACUUUCUACUUACCUUAAGACAGGUUUCUGACCUGUUCACAGACCAUGUUCUUCUACACUUACGUAGCUUAUUAUUGAAAUACAAGUUAGGUAUUUGUUCUAUAAAAAGAUUUAAGAGGUUAGAACUCUUCCAAGUUCUUCUGAGGUGCCAAAGGAAGGUCUGACUUUAGCUCAGUAUUUCUUCUCUAUAAUUCCUGUUUUUAGGACUCUACAGAAACAUUUUACAAGUUUGCAUUUCUAAUGCAGUUAUUAGCGACACGGUUUGAAAAUUGAUCAUAUACUUUGUGAAUUUUAGGUUAUUUUUAGUAAAGCACUUAAGUUUUCACCACCUCAAAAAUAUACUUACAUUUUUCUAAGACUACGAAUUCAAAAAUCUAUAGCAAAGUUGUCCCAAAUUUGUUUAGUGCCUUUAAUAAACAGAAGCCUAUCUAUCUUUUGGAAAUAUGAAAUUGAAUUUGGUUAAGUCAAGGACCAUACUAAGCACUGAAAAUUGUAAUGAUCAAAUACCUCAAAUAAAAGGUUGACUGAAAAUUUUACGAACAGGCAAUUUUUACAUGGCUAAGCCUAAAGAUAAAAAUAAUGCUGCCUGGCAUUAAGUCCUAAGUCUUAUAUACAUAGUUUAUCAUCUAAACUGAAACUGCAUUCAUUGUUAGAUAAAUCUUGAGGUAUUGAGCCAAAAUCCUUUAUAUCUAUUGACAUCACUGGCUUAUACCUGUAUAAACACUAUACAGAAGCUUAAACAAUAGUCGAUUUGUAUGUCAUUUCAGCAAAAGUAGUUGGUAUCAUCUGACUGGGGGGG